AAAGGAUUAUGGUCUAGAGACGGGGGUAAAAUCAUCUUGCUUCAGGCUUAUUACUGUAGCGUACGAAUCCCCGUUCUUUCUCGAAAGUUUCUCGCUCCCAUUCCGCCAUUAGUGUCAAAGACCACAGGUGUAAUUGUUGUUAUUUCGCUGUUGAUAUUUCCUUUUCUUUUCGUUCUCUUGUUCUUUGAAGAUCGUUGACGUCGGCUUGUUCAGGUUGCAGUUGGAGUUAACAUAUGCUACACGGACAUCAAAGAAUGCUGUAACUUCUCGUACAAAGAACCCACCGCCCUUUGCUUUACAACUGAAAAAGGUGUAUAAAUGGCCCAAAAUGGAUCAAUGGUCGUGUAGAAAUGAAUUGGGUUUAUGCCAGCAUCUUUUCCUGAGAAUAGACCAUGACCUUAGCUUAAUUUUUCAAGGUGUGUUAAUAUUUGGGUUGUGUGAUGUAAUAUUUAUAACCAAUAGCAAUGGUAUUCUCUUAUUAGUCUAGUAAGUACUUGGUAUUCACAGUAAAAUAGAUAGAGUAAGUCAAUAGAAGUUGAUAUUUAUAUCAUUAUAAUUACUUACAAAUACUAUGGAUUGUGCUGUGGAAAUAAAGUGAUAUUGAUAUCGGCCACCCUAAGGUCACGGCACUGCCGGACCAAUCACAUGGUGCGAGAAAAAAACCCA